rnacentral:rRNA from 1 species
GACAGAGGAUGCAAGCGUUAUCCGGAAUGAUUGGGCGUAAAGCGUCUGUAGGUGGCUUUUUAAGUCCGCCGUCAAAUCCCAGGGCUCAACCCUGGACAGGCGGUGGAAACUACCAAGCUGGAGUACGGUAGGGGCAGAGGGAAUUUCCAGUGGAGCGGUGAAAUGCGUAGAUAUUGGAAAGACCACCAAUGGCGAAGGCACUCUACUGGGCCAUUACUGACACUGAGAGACGAAAGCCUAGGGGAGCAAAUGGG